UGCAAGUCGAGCGGAACGAUCCUAGCUUGCUAGGAGGCGUCGAGCGGCGGACGGGUGAGUAAUGCAUAGGAAUCUGCCCGGUAGUGGGGGAUAACCUGGGGAAACCCAGGCUAAUACCGCAUACGCCCUACGGGGGAAAGCAGGGGAUCUUCGGACCUUGCGCUAUCGGAUGAGCCUAUGUCGGAUUAGCUAGUUGGUGAGGUAACGGCUCACCAAGGCUGCGAUCCGUAGCUGGUCUGAGAGGAUGAUCAGCCACAUCGGGACUGAGACACGGCCCGAACUCCUACGGGAGGCAGCAGUGGGGAAUAUUGGACAAUGGGCGAAAGCCUGAUCCAGCCAUGCCGCGUGUGUGAAGAAGGCCUUCGGGUUGUAAAGCACUUUCAGUG
rnacentral:rRNA from 1 species